ACGCAAAGUGAUUGGCUCAGAAAUGGGCACGUGACUCAAUUUGGGCCAAUGAGAUGCAUGGAGAGGUGUGCGUGGAGCCUCCUGGGAAAUUCUUUUCUCUCCUGGGAGAGCAUCCCCGUCUCCUGUUGUGUUGAAUGAGGAAGCACGCAGCCCAGACUGCUCCUGGCAGACUCUAUGACCAGAGGAGCUGCCGACGCUGUGGCACAAUUUGGGUCUUCUGUGACCUCACUGAGCUGCUCCAUCCACCAGGCCAGAAGCCACCUACCUCUGGUCGUCUGAUAAUGCCUGCCUGGACACCUCUUCAUUGUUUAGGCAGCCAAACUCAUCCUUAGCCGAUAAGGGUCCCUGGUAGCAACAGCGGAGGGACCUGGGAAUUGGGGCCCUAGAAAGGAAACCCCCAGAGAAGGGGUUCUAGGUUAGACAGUCACGUCUACCAGCUGCUCCUGAACUGACUGCCUGAUGGCUCUCCAAGCCAGUGCACACCGCCCCCUCCGCGCCCCCCCGCCCCCGAGAUCACGGACUUGCACUCUUAGUUGUGCUCUCGCGUUAUUAUUUUUGCCAUCUUUCAAACCACCCCCAAACCUAGUGGCUUCAAACGACGACAACCAUUUAUUAGCUUAUGAUUGUGCAAUUUGCGCAGGGCUCAGCCUGGCUCAUUUCUGCUCCCUGUGGCAUCUGCUGUGAAGAUGGCUGCUUCUCUCAAGUGCCCAGCGUCUCGGCCGGGAUGAGUUCCACAGCUGGGGGCUGGCUGGGCAUCACUCUCUCUCCGUGGGGCCUCUCCUCCUGGCUAGCUUGGGCUUCUUCCAGCCAUGGCCACUGGGUUCCAAGACUCCAUGUGUAAGAGCUUAUCACACCUGGCACUGGCUUGUUGAUGUCCCCGUAGUCAAAAGGACGUGGUCAAACCCAGAAGUGUAGUGGGAGGAGACUGCAGAGAGACUCUUAUGGGCAGGAGCGGUUCACUGGGGACCCGCAACCACGGUACAACACAGCGGUCAUCACGCUUUGGGAAAAUCAAAAGCUCAUCGCCAGGAAAAGAGGCGCUGCCCCUCCCCCACAAAAGGAAAUGCCUUCUCUAACACAGGAUUGGAGCAGCAUGCAGUAUGGGGAGGUGCAUUUGGCCUGAUUUAGUAUUUACUGGGUACCUAACUGCAAGGUGCUGAGUUCAGCUCAGCUUCUUUAUUGGUACCUAAUUUGUGCAAGGCACUGCUCUCGUGCUGGAAAAUCCAGACUUCAUCUUUAUGGAGUAGCUACCACCUGCUUAUCAUAUGGAGCGACAGAAAAAAACGAGCCGCCCAGAGUCUUGCAGCUAAAGCAGACCCUGUACUGUCCUGACGAAGCAAUUAUAAUACGCCAGACGCAUAUGAUUACGUGCCAGAUGCUUUGCACACACGGCCUUAUUUCAUCCUCAUACCGGUCCUCAAAGCUGUGAUUAUCCUCUUUAUGAAGAUGAGGAAACUGAGGCUUGGAGAGGCCAAGUAAAUCGCCCAAGGUUAUAACAAGAGGAAGCUGGGAUCGAAAGUCCAGGAAUUUCUGACCAAAGCGAUUUUCUCCUCGACCAGGCAAUCCUGCCAUCCUAGCAACAAAUACACACUGAGCACACAAACACUCGGCCCUGUUAGGCACUGAGGGGGACAGUGAUGCAAAUCCAACACAGUCCUCGUCCCCAAGGACUUUACAGAGGACCGAUGUGGAAGGGGCUGGCUUUGAGGCUUAUCCAUCAUCCAACAUGUGCUGUGCAUCUGCCCUCUGCCCAGCCCUGACCAAUGAACUGGGAGUUCAGAGCCUAGAGAAACUCUGAAACAGGCAAACAGAAGCCCCGCCCAGAGAUAUUAGUGCAGCGCUGUUCCUAACAGGAAAACCACGGACACGUCUGUGAGCAGGCGAAUGCACAAAUGGAGGAUCUACGGCAGGGGAAAGGAUGACCCCUCUACAUACACCACACGGAAAGACCUCACAGCCUAUCACGGUGCGUGGAAACGACAGUCUGUAGGCCUAUGAUAUGAAACAUCCCACUCACGGAACCUCCAAAAGGCACACACGGAACCACUCCCUUGCUUGCGGAUGCCAUUAGAGCGUGUGUGGUGGACUGCAAGGACACUGCAGAAAUUCAGCUUCACGUCAUAUUUAAUUUAGCCCUUUUCAGACACAGCUUUGCUUUCUAUCACUGCAAGAGAGAGCAGCCCAAACGCCCUCCAAGAGAACUCAGGUGCUAGAAGGAGCGGCCGAGAAACAGAACGCUGGCCAGCUGCUGUAAAGUGAAGCGAGCAGUUUCCAUUUUGACGUAAGGAAACAAAUGUAACAGGCUUCGUGACUUUGCCUCAGUCAAAGAUCUCCUCUCAGAACAUUAAGUGGAACCCUUUUUAAUUAAACAUUGAAUACUUUGGAGCGAGAGAUGCUGCAAUCUAGGCAAAAUAAAACACGCAUAGAUUUUGAAAGCUUAAGCAAGGCCUUUAUCCCACUGGUGCUGUUUCCAACAGUGUUCCUUGUUCUUUGUGCUUCUGAGGUCCCUAGAUGGUGGGAUUUACAGUGAGUCUUAAGUUUCAAGGAGGUACAGGGACCAGGUCUUAAGCAGCAUUAAUUCACAUAGUGAAAAAGUUAUUCAGCCUUCAAUUCAAGCAGGGCCUCAUUUGCUCACAGUGAUUCAGAACCAUCUUCAUAAAAAGCCGCCUUGGAUGCUCUGACAGACCCAGUUGACCAGCCCCAUACGGCUAUUAUCCUAGUCCAGCUUGCCUCCUGGUGGCAGUGUCUCUAAAUUGCAGGGUGAGUACUCAGGUCUCAUAAAUCCAGGAAAUGCGUGCUAAGGAGGGGAACUAGAGACCAUUUAGACACCUUUCUAACCAUGUCUUUCCUGCCCCGCACCCAUAGCUCCAUUUCACAGAUGAGGAAACUGAGGCUCAGUUGAGCGAAGUUAUGUCUUAUCUGGAAGUGAGCCGUCCACACGGCCAGUUUCACAAACCCGAAGUCAGCGAUGGUGCAGGGAGGCAGGAACCACAGUCUCUGCGAAUGCAGAAGCUGCAGCAAAUGCAGAGGAAAACCCAAAUGCAGGUGUGCAGCCAAGAGGCAACGAGAGGCUCUGCAGGCCUAGGGGACUGUGCCUGGGCUCGAGUCCUCGCGAAGACCCUUUCGCUUGUCAGAGCCUGGGUCUCCUUCACGGUAGGGGACGGACACCUCUCUCAGAGUCCUUCUAAGAUUAGCUGAAUGCA
ensembl:lncRNA